UACGUAGGGUCCGAGCGUUGUUCGGAAUUACUGGGCGUAAAGGGCGCGUAGGCGGCCUGUUAAGUCGAACGUGAAAUCCCCGGGCUCAACCCGGGAACUGCGUCCGAUACUGGCAGGCUUGAAUCCGGGAGAGGGAUGCGGAAUUCCAGGUGUAGCGGUGAAAUGCGUAGAUAUCUGGAGGAACACCGGUGGCGAAGGCGGCAUCCUGGACCGGUAUUGACGCUGAGGCGCGAAAGCCAGGGGAGCAAACGGG
rnacentral:rRNA from 1 species